ACGCUCGACACCUACGGGAGGCAGCAGUGGGGAAUAUUGCACAAUGGGGGAAACCCUGAUGCAGCGACGCCGCGUGAAGGAAGAAGUAUCUCGGUAUGUAAACUUCUAUCAGCAGGGAAGAAAGUGACGGUACCUGACUAAGAACGCCCCGGCUAACUACGUGCCAGCAGCCGGUAAUCUGAGCGGGCUGGCAAGGC
rnacentral:rRNA from 1 species